rnacentral:lncRNA from 1 species
GAAGUUUAGAUAGAUAUUUCUGUUUCAAACAUUUGUCAUCCACAUCCUUCAACUUUUUUUAACAAUUUUUUGAACACCUAAACUACCAACUUCUGCAUACAAGUAUUUAAACCACCCAACAGUUUUCUAAGGGGCAAUCACUAUACUACUAUAGUACCACAUCAUUAGACACUAGGCAAUGAUAUCUACAUAUUUAACUAAUAGCUAAAGUUGACAUACAAAACAUUUGGCUAAACAAUUUUACGUGCGCUAGGCCGCUAGCGAGACAACCAACAAUCCAAUUCGUUAACCAAUGGCUUGGUUUUUGGUUUCAAUCUAUAAAAUCUUUUUAAUACAUAAACUACAAUAAGUUCUACAAGCCAAGAAGUAAAUCAGAAUACAAAUAUGACAAAGACAGCAAAUCUAAUUUAAAAACACACAUAACUGAACCUGACCCAGAAUCCCUUGAUAAAAUUAAGGCAUGUUUGACCUAAGCUCAUGGAAAUCAACCAAUGUGGUUACUUGUUCUUGACGGUUAUGCGAACUCGGUGGACCAUUUGACCUCUGUCGGCCACGCGUAUUGGUUCUGCUUCUAGUGGCUCGUGCAUUCUCUCUAGGCGUACCUGCGUUAUGAGUACUAGUCGGUCCUCUUGACCUACCAGAUUCUUCGAUCUCCGACUCAUGUGAUGACGGUGAUGGUGAUGAUGAUAAGUUAACCCCGUUAUCUCUGUUAUCCCAAUCAUCCAAAAACAGAUUACUGUUAUCUGCUGGCGAAUCUAACUCAGGAAAAAAACUUCCGAAUUCCGCUUCGAAAGCGCUAAAAAAGUUCAACAUGUUCAUAUCCGGAUCCCAGUUCGGGCUAGCGAGCUCGUAAACACCGUCCAUGAUCGCAAUCGCCUCGUCGUCAUAAUCAUCAUCGUCAAACUCGAACUGCAUACUGAGCAUAUCUUGCUGCUCCAUAUCUUGUUCCAAUUUCGUCCACUCGAGUUCACGUUCGGGGUCUACGUCUGUCGGUCUAACACGCGGGUGCUCACGCCUAGCGUGUUUCCUUAACUGCGAAUAAUUUCCGGAAAAAUCACAAGUACCCAAUGAACAGCUUCUCGUUUUCGAGUUCAUGAACUCGCGAGCACGGUUGACCACAAUCCACUUGUUGAUUUGACCUCUGCAAAGCGGGCAAACAAGCUUGGUUUGUUUGGUUUGUUCUCCGUCGUCGUUCAACGUCUUCUGAAACUGAUCGAGACAGUUCGAGUGGCGCGCGCUUGUGUCGCAGAUGUACGGGAGACAUCCUUUUUCGCGUGACGAACAGACUAAAAGGACGGCGUUGUGAGGGUGUUCCAUACAGAUACAACAUCUGGUUUCUUCCCAUUCGUUCUCAUUCCCGAUCGGUAGAGAUGGAGAUUUUGGUGUCCUUUUGUUAGAAUUCUUGUUGUAACGGGUAUAUGGAGACGCCCUAUACCUAUGCGACGAAGAUCUUCUAUCGUUGGGCAUCUUUAUGGCUUUCAAACCUGAGUGGUGAUCUAAAAGCCAAAUUUUGGAUUAGGUGAAGAAGAUUGUGGAAAUUGCAGGUUGAGAAAGUGCGUAAGCGACAUGAAUGAACUGUAUUUGUUUAGGAAGA